UACGGAAGGCAGCAGUGGGGAAUAUUGCACAAUGGGCGCAAGCCUGAUGCAGCCAUGCCGCGUGUAUGAAGAAGGCCUUCGGGUUGUAAAGUACUUUCAGUCGUGAGGAAGGUGUUAAGGUUAAUAACCUUAGCAAUUGACGUUAGCGACAGAAGAAGCACCGGCUAACUCCGUGCCAGCAGCCGCGGUAAUACGGAGGGUGCGAGCGUUAAUCGGAAUUACUGGGCGUAAAGGGCACGCAGGCGGUUAAUUAAGUUGGAUGUGAAAUCCCCGGGCUUAACCUGGGAAUGGCAUUCAAGACUGGUUUAGCUAGAGUCUUGUAGAGGGGGUAGGAAUUCCAUGUGUAGCGGUGAAAUGCGUAGAGAUGUGGAGGAAUACCGGUGGCGAAGGCGGCCCCUGGACAAAGACUGACGCUCAUGUGCGAAAGCGUGGGGAGCAAACAGGGAUUAGAUACC
rnacentral:rRNA from 1 species